rnacentral:rRNA from 1 species
AGUGAACGCUGGCGGUAGGCCUAACACAUGCAAGUCGAACGGCAGCACAGUAAGAGCUUGCUCUUACGGGUGGCGAGUGGCGGACGGGUGAGGAAUACAUCGGAAUCUACUUUUUCGUGGGGGAUAACGUAGGGAAACUUACGCUAAUACCGCAUACGACCUACGGGUGAAAGCAGGGGAUCUUCGGACCUUGCGCGAUUGAAUGAGCCGAUGUCGGAUUAGCUAGUUGGCGGGGUAAAGGCCCACCAAGGCGACGAUCCGUAGCUGGUCUGAGAGGAUGAUCGGCGACACUGGAGCUGAGACACGGUCCAGACUCCUACGGGAGGCAGCAGUGGGGAAUAUUGGACAAUGGGCGCAAGCCUGAUCCAGCCAUACCGCGUGGGUGAAGAAGGCCUUCGGGUUGUAAAGCCCUUUUGUUGGGAAAGAAAAGCAGCAGGUUAAUACCCCGCUGUUCUGACGGUACCCAAAGAAUAAGCACCGGCUAACUUCGUG